GCGCGGCUUUGGGUCGGAACCAGUCGUUCUUCAAUGACGGCUAUCGGCCGAUUCUGUUGAAAAACUCGAUUGCUCGUCGCGAUUGGUCGCGCU
rnacentral:tRNA from 1 species